UAUAUUUGCAGCGUUGAAAGGUUCGCGUCUCAGGCGCGAUGAAAAGGGAACGGAGUGAGAGUCUCCGACAGUCCCGCUGCUGUGAGCAGCCCUUAUCAGGAGCGAACAACAAGCCACUGGCAAUUCACCGGGAAGGCGUUCGCGUCCGGGCUGCGAGUCAGAAGACCUGCCUUCAAUGCUCAUUGAUG
rnacentral:ncRNA from 1 species